UACGAAGGGGGCUAGCGUUGCUCGGAAUCACUGGGCGUAAAGGGUGCGUAGGCGGGGCUUUAAGUCAGGGGUGAAAUCCUGGAGCUCAACUCCAGAACUGCCUUUGAUACUGAGGAUCUUGAGUACGGGAGAGGUGAGUGGAACUGCGAGUGUAGAGGUGAAAUUCGUAGAUAUUCGCAAGAACACCAGUGGCGAAGGCGGCUCACUGGCCCGUUACUGACGCUGAGGCACGAAGGCCAGGGGAGCAAACGGG
rnacentral:rRNA from 1 species